rnacentral:rRNA from 1 species
CCUACGGGAGGCAGCAGUAAGGAAUAUUGGUCAAUGGGCGCAAGCCUGAACCAGCCAUGCCGCGUGCAGGAAGACGGCCCUAUGGGUUGUAAACUGCUUUUGAACAAGAGAAAACCUCGGUACGUGUACCGAGCUGAUAGUAUUGUUAGAAUAAGCAUCGGCUAACUUCGUGCCAGCAGCCGCGGUAAGACGAAGGAUGCAAGCGUUAUCCGGAUUCAUUGGGUUUAAAGGGUGCGUAGGUGGCCUGAUAAGUCAGUGGUGAAAUCUCUCAGCUUAACUGAGAAACUGCCAUUGAUACUGUCGGGCUUGAGUACAGAUGAUGUGGGCGGAAUAUGACAUGUAGUGGUGAAAUACUUAGAUAUGUCAUAGAACACCGAUUGCGAAGGCAGCUCACAAAACUGUAACUGACGCUGAGGCACGAAAGUGCGGGGAUCAAACAGGAUUAGAUACCCUGGUAGUCCGCACCGUAAACGAUGAUUACUCGUUGUUGGCAAUAUGACCGUCAGCGACCAAGCGAAAGCGAUAAGAAUCCCACCUGGGGAGUACGCCGGCAACGGUUGAAACGUCAAAGGAAUUGACGGCGNGAGAGNGCGACGGACGACGACGAGGGAGGAGG